CUGCAGCCAGCACCACCUACACGGGCCGUCCUCAGGAGAAGCCUCUCGGCCUAUUCAUCUGCGCACCGGUCAAUGCAGGCUUCGCACCGCAAGUGCUCAGGAGACAUUUCAGAACCACGCUGCAGGAGUAAGAAGAGUCAGCAAUUGAAAGCAUAACCAUUGCAUAGUAUUAAAUGAACAGAGACGGUUGAUCCCGCUGUCGAUGGCGCUGUUGUUCUUGUUGAGCGAUGACGGAGGGCUCGAGUUCUGCUUGAGGGCGGCAUCUUCUUCCAGGUCAGUGUCGUCAAUAAGGGGGAUGUGGGGCUGUGAAUCUUCG